AGAACAUCAGACUAUCAUUUGCCUCCGCUUUGCCAGACUUUAGUUAAACUUUGGUUGAAAGCUCAUGUUUCAUAUCUUCAGUUACGUAAUUGCUUCUCUUUUUUCUCCCGGAAUUUACACACUAAAGACUCCGGGCCGAUACAAGAACCUCAUCAUUCACCGCACAACAGUCCCACGAUUCCUUGCCGUCGGUUGGUGGUGAGCCGAGCAAGUCCUCAGAACUCUCCGGGUGGGGGCGUGGUGGGUUGGAUCGGGUCCUGCUCUCCGGUGGGUCUGGGGUUCAAGUCCCGCUUGGGGUGCCUUGCGAUGGACUGGCGUCCCGUCCUGGAGGAAAAGGAGCAGCUUGGCUCUGAGGAAUCAAACACACCCAUCGAAGGCCUUCAAAGCGGCAAUUCUCCCUCUCCCCGUACUCCUCGACUUGGAUUCUGAUUUCACAGGACAACUGACAUCCGGCAAUGCCUAUUUAAAGCGUGUGCAUUCUGCGUAAAUAAAAGUUUUGAUAGCAAGUAAUUAUCA
rnacentral:lncRNA from 1 species